rnacentral:rRNA from 1 species
CCCUUAGAUGUUCUGGGCCGCACGCGCGCUACACUGAUGCAUUCAACGAGCCUAUCCUUGACCGACAGGUCCGGGUAAUCUUUUAAUCUGCAUCGUGACGGGGAUAGAUUAUUGCAAUUAUUAAUCUUCAACGAGGAAUGCCUAGUAGGCGCAAGUCAUCAGCUUGCGUCGAUUACGUCCCUGCCCUUUGUACACACCGCCCGUCGCUCCUACCGAUUGGGUGUGCUGGUGAAAUGUUCGGAUCGGCCGUUUGUCGCGGUUUCCGCGUCAUGUGGCUGAGAAGUUCAUUAAACCCUCCCACCUAGAGGAAGGAGAAGUCGUAACA